GACGAACGCUGGCGGCGUGCUUAACACAUGCAAGUCGAACGGAAAGGCUCCAGCUUGCUGGAGUACUCGAGUGGCGAACGGGUGAGUAACACGUGGGUGAUCUGCCCUGCACUUCGGGAUAAGCCUGGGAAACUGGGUCUAAUACCGGAUAGGACCGCACUUUGGUGUGUGUGGUGGAAAGGUUUUUCUGGUGUGGGAUGAGCUCGCGGCCUAUCAGUUUGUUGGUGGGGUAAUGGCCUACCAAGACGGCGACGGGUAGCCGGCCUGAGAGGGUGGACGGGCACAUUGGGUCUGAGAUACGGCCCAGACUCCGACGGGAGGCAGCAGUGGGGAAUAUUGCACAAUGGGGGAAACCCUGAUGCAGCGACGCCGCGUGGGGGAUGAAGGCCUUCGGGUUGUAAACUCCUUUCGCUAGGGACGAAGCUUUUUGUGACGGUACCUGGAGAAGAAGCACCGGCUAACUACGUG
rnacentral:rRNA from 1 species